UGAUGUGAGUCCUGACUGCUUAUUCAGCAGCUUUGGCUGAUAAGGCCGGAGCCCCCUCCAUCCCUCACUCUUCCACGUGUAACCUUCCACAGAUGCCCCCUUGGCUGAAGAGAUUGGGGCAUUCCUGAGAGAGGGGCACUGUGUCAGAUCACAGGUAUCCUAGUAGCUGUCUUGUCGGUUAGAAUUUUCAACCUAAAUAACCUCAUCUUCAAAUCUUUUCCCAAGAAGUGGCCAGUCUAGCCUUUUCCAUUAUUUAA
rnacentral:snRNA from 1 species